AAACCAGCACCUCAAGUGGUCAGGAUGAUUAUUGGGCCUAAAGCAUCCGUAGCCUGCUCUGUAAGUUUUCGGUUAAAUCUGUACGCUCAACGUACAGGCUGCCGGGAAUACUGCAGAGCUAGGGAGUGGGAGAGGUAGACGGUACUCGGGAGGAAGGGGUAAAAUCCUUUGAUCUCUCGAUGACCACCUGUGGCGAAGGCGGUCUACCAGAACACGUUCGACGGUGAGGGAUGAAAGCUGGGGGAGCAAACCGGAUUAGAAACCCCAGUAGUCC
rnacentral:rRNA from 1 species